rnacentral:rRNA from 1 species
AUUGAACGCUGGCGGCAUGCUUUACUCAUGCAAGUCGAACGGUAACAGGCCUUCGGGUGCUGACGAGUGGCGCACGGGUGAGUAAUGCAUCGGAACGUGCCCAGAGGUGGGGGAUAACGCAGCGAAAGCUGUGCUAAUACCGCAUGUGAUCUGAGGAUGAAAGCGGGGGACCAGGCAGCAAUGUUUGGCCUCGCGCCUUUGGAGCGGCCGAUGUCAGAUUAGGUAGUUGGUGGGGUAAAGGCCUACCAAGCCGACGAUCUGUAGCUGGUCUGAGAGGACGACCAGCCACACUGGGACUGAGACACGGCCCAGACUCCUACGGGAGGCAGCAGUGGGGAAUUUUGGACAAUGGGCGCAAGCCUGAUCCAGCAAUGCCGCGUGCGGGAAGAAGGCCUUCGGGUUGUAAACCGCUUUUGUACGGAACGAAAAGGCUCUGGCUAAUACCUGGGGCUGAUGACGGUACCGUAAGAAUAAGCACCGGCUAACUACGUG